rnacentral:rRNA from 1 species
GAGUGGCGUCCGGGUGCGUGACACGUCGGUGACCUACCCAUUUGUGGGGAAUACCCUGCCGAAAGGUGGGCUAAUACCGCAUACGAUCCCUUCGUCGCAGAAGGGAUGAAAGCUCGCAAGGGCGCUGAUGGAGGGGCCGGCGGCCUAUCAGCUAGUUGGUGGGGUAAAGGCCUACCAAGGCAACGACGGGGAGCCGAUCUGAGAGGAUGAACGGCCACAGUGGGACUGAGAUAUGGUCCACAACCCUACGGGGUUUAGCAUGGAGGAAUCUUGCGCAACAUCCGACAGGAUGGCGCAGCAACGCCGCGUGGGGGAUGAAGCCGUUUGCGGUGUAAACCCCUGUUGCUCGGGAAGAAGUACCGUCGGGGAGAGCCUGACGGGAAGACGGUACCGGGCGAGGAAGCCCCGGCUAACUACGUGCCAGCAGCCGCGGUAAGACGUAGGGGGCGAGCGUUAUCCGGAUUUAUUGGGCGUAAAGCGCGCGCAGGCGGACCGCAGCAGUGGCGUGUGGAAUCUCCCGGCUCACCCGGGAGGGGUCAUGCCAGACGGGCGGUCUUGAGGCAAACAGUGGGUCGCGGAACGGGCAGAGUAGGGGUGAAAUCCGUAGAGACUGUCCGGAACACCAGAGGCGAAGGCGGCGACCUAGGUUU